AGAAAUAAUAUGUCGUAAGUGGCGUACAUUUAUUAUGGGGAAGGUUAGAGCUGUACAUGAACCAGUUAGCCUACUUAGUAGAAGCAUUGAAGCAUUAGCAUACAAAAAGCACUUUCGGUAGAGUUGCGCGCGUUUUCUGUGAGCGCGUGAUUAUUGACCAUUCAAAAGCAGUGGCGGUUGGUAUGUGAGGUGAGCUGAACUGUGGCGGCCGAGUGACCCGAGUUUAUCGAAGGAAACUAAUGACACAGCGCGGUCUCGAGAGCACCAAAGAGGCAUCCAUGGCGGUCAGAGGAACAGAAAUGAAAAGAUGUCAAGCGAAAACACGCGAGGUUGAAAAUGCACAAUUUUCUGAGACAUCUCCAGCAAAAAAGAUGAAGGCACAGCAUUUCAGACCAGCA